rnacentral:misc_RNA from 1 species
GACCGGGGACCAAGAAACAUCCACAUUUGUCAAGGAGGAGAAUAGGUGAAAGAAAAUCACAAGGAGAUACCUGGAAUUUGACGAAGAUAUCGCGGAGAUGCAGGCAAGCAAAGAAGAAACACCACCCAGCGAAAAGGCAACCCGACUCGUCAAGGAAGAAUUCUUGAAAGGUGACAAGAUCAUCAGAUUGUAGCGGCACUCGUCGGCCCUCGAGUCAACUACCCGAAAAGUCAACAAUUGUAAACAAGGUCGAGAGUUCAGCGUCCGUUGGGAUGUUUCGAGAACAUCUUCAAAAUUCAAAUCCCAACGCCUUUCGUCAACUCCGACGCAUAUAAAUGUAGCGAACAGGGUUGCGAGGCAUUCUUGGUUAUCGAGUGACACGAGCAGUAGCAGUUAAGUCGAUACUUCCUUGCGCCGAUCUAUUAGUAACCGCGAAUCGAGACAACA